UUCAAAACAACAACAAAAAAAAGGGUUAGCAGAACCAAAGCUGUUGAUGGAUAAAGUAAAAUAAGCAACAAAAACUCUGAAACACCAGACGGGAAUCAUGUGCCACAGAAAAAGAAUCCUUUUGUAAAUUAAAACAUCUGGUAUCCAGCUUGCUGAUGGGUUCCUGGGUGCACUGAAAACGGAAAUUUCAUUUAGUAAUCUAUUUGAAGAAUUAGACUUUGGGUUUAUGCUCGUUCUCUUGUUUCAAGUUGAAAAAAAAAAAAUACCUACCACACAGAAAGUUGGGGGUAAAAGGAUAUUUGAUUUUAGGAAGAAAAGGGUUGCUUUAAGAUUUCGAAAUCCAAUACUUCACUAAACACACAGCCUGUCAUGUUCAAGGGAUUGUUUGAUUAAUCAAU